UCUGUUCCAAUAUUUGGACUUUGACCUCAGUUCCUGACACAGAUCUCCUAAAUCCUUGGCAAUUUCCUGGAUGAUAGGAUCAUCUUUUGUUCUAAUGAAGCAACUCUUGGUGGGCUCACAGAGAGUCUCAAGACAGGAGCUGGUUGCCAAGGAAACCAACCAUGCAAUAAGAGGAUUAGAAUAUUCAGCCCCACCCCAUGACUUCCAGAGACAGAGGAAAGGCUGAAGGUUGAGUUGAUUACCAGUAGCUCACGAUAUAAUCAUUCAUGCCUACAUAACACAGCUUUCAUAAGAACCCAAUAGGACAGGGUUCAAGGACCCUCUAAAGAAUGCCACACCUAUAGAGGCAUGGAAACUCUUUGCCACUUUCAUCUGACUAUUGAUCUAUAUCCUUUGUAAUGCCUCUUAUAAGAAAUGGGCAGAUUCUAGCAGUGUUUGUGAGAAAAACUGAUGGAUCCUGCAGAUUAACUAUGGACAGCCAAAUAUUGAGUAAAGUGAUGUCUACAACAGCAUCAGCUAUGCCUGAUAUGGUGUUAAUUCACAUUGUGAAGUUCCAAAAUCAGAAGAUGAUACAGAAAGAUUGCUCUGGUUGCCUGGUUUCUGAAGAAAUCGUGUACCCUGUCUGGAUAGUGUCUUACUUCCUAUCCACAAAGUUGUGAAAUAAUCUGGAAUUAAAUGGCAACCUAAACAACCCUAGAGUUGCCUGAACACAGAGCCAUUGCUGUGUUGAUCAUUAUAGCAGUCCUCAAUAGGAAAAAGAUGCCUCCCUGGUCGACCUUCCUGGAAAGUAUGCAUAUCAUUACUGCUUAGAUUUUGUUGGAGAGAAAUCACACUACCAUCAAAGACAACGGGUCAAAAAGAAUGCCGUCCUAAGCUGAGAAGCCAUCUUCCUAACGACAGCCAUGUAAUAUGAAAGGGAAAAACACACUGUUAUUGAAGAACUUAUCAGCUAUGUCACAUCUUCCACACAAAUACUCAGGAAAGUUAAAAGAAAAUUUUACCUCGGACACAGUUGAUGAUUGCUAAAGUCCUAUUGCAUGCUUUAAGAUGCCUUGCGUUUGGUGAAUUGAAGCCUGAUAUGUCAACAUACUCUCUGUAAACACAGCAGCACAGAGGGCAAAGAAACACUUAUCCAGCACCACAGCUAGGACAAAAGGAAUUAUUUUGACAGUAAAUGGACUUGCAGCUUAAGGUUGGUAUGUACCCAAUUGUGACUAAACCAAAAGAAACAAAUCUGGAAACUGAAGUAUCAAUACGUGAAAAGCGUUCUUUUGGUAUUGGGAGUGCCAGUUGUCUUUGUUUCAUGAACUACUUCUCCGUAAUAGCAUGCAGCCAUCUUCAAGAGGUGAGAAUUUCACUUAGCGACUUAAACAGAAGUGUUAUCUCAAGAUAAUAUAAUAUCUGGAGGUAAAACAGCAUCCCCAGGAUAAACAGGAAAAGAAAAAAAAGGGCCAAUGUCUUCAUUACAAGAUAGACUCCUGAGAAUGCUUAUUCCAGCAAAGAAGAAGAUCUUCCUAAAAAACAAGAUUAUAAGUCACAGUCUGUAAGAAAAGAAAAAGUAAAACAAGAUAGACUCCUGAGAACACUAAUUCCAGCAAAGAAGAAGAAGAUCUUCCUAAAAAACAAGGAUUACUCAAAGUUAUUGAGAAGAAAUACAGGUUCUGGUGGACAAUUUCCAGUCUGGAGUCUGCAUUUGGAGAGAUUCUACAGCACAUGCAUGAAUGGUGUGCUGCCUAUUCAUUUAAGAAACUGAUGGUUUUACGACUAGUAGCAUGGUGUAUUUAACAAACACUGGCCUAGGACUCAUAAACAGAGAUGACUACAGGUUGAUGAUCUAAUAAAUAUUCUAGUCAUCACUGCCUGGGCUAAAGAGGAGGAGGUGGUGUCCCAAGGGCAUUUAUAUCUUUGCUCUGUAUUUGGAGGAGAAUGGAGAGUUCCAAAUGAUCAGAGCUUGCACAUUACUAGAUCCCCUUUCUAGGGAAAAUGCUGCGAUCAAUUGAAGUUGUCAUCCUCAUGAAGCUCAUACUGUUUUGCCUGAAAAAUAAAUGUAAAUGCACAUUCUUGGUCUUAAAAUACAUAGAAACAAUACUUUUUUCCCUGCUACUAGCUUUGUAAGAUAAAUAGGGUUCAUGUUUAACAUAUAUACUCAAUACUUGGGCAAUUUGUCUUCAUCUAAUGAAUUAUUAUUUACCAUUUUUAAAUUAUCUGCUCAGAUUACAAGAUUCUUUUUAACAAUAACCAAAUUUUAAUUAGUAAAACUUUUGGUCACUUUAUAUUUUCUGAUGUGCAUAUUACAAUAAAAU
rnacentral:lncRNA from 1 species